rnacentral:rRNA from 1 species
GACGAACGCUGGCGGCGUGCUUAACACAUGCAAGUCGAGCGGUAAGGCCCUUUCGGGGGUACACGAGCGGCGAACGGGUGAGUAACACGUGGGUGACCUGCCCUCAGCUCUGGGAUAAGCCUGGGAAACUGGGUCUAAUACCGGAUAUGACUCCAUGACGCAUGUUGUGGGGUGGAAAGCCUUGUGCGGCUGAGGAUGGGCCCGCGGCCUAUCAGCUUGUUGGUGGGGUGANGGCCUACCAAGGCGACGACGGGUAGCCGGCCUGAGAGGGCGACCGGCCACACUGGGGACU